rnacentral:rRNA from 1 species
GCACGAAAACUUUACAAUGCUGGCAACAGCGAUAAGGGAACCUCGAGUGCCAGGUUACAAAUCUGGCUGUCGAGAUGCCUAAAAAGCAUUUCAUAGCAAGGGCCGGGCAAGACCGGUGCCAGCCGCCGCGGUAACACCGGCGGCUCGAGUGGUAACCGUUAUUAUUGGGUCUAAAGGGUCUGUAGCCGGCCGGAUAAGUCUCUUGAGAAAUCUGGCAGCUUAACUGUCAGGCUUUCAGGAGAUACUGUCUGGCUCGAGGCCGGGAGAGGUGAGAGGUACGUCAGGUGUAGGGGUGAAAUCUUGUAAUCCUUGAAGGACCACCAGUGGCGAAGGCGUCUCACCAGAACGGACCUGACGGCAAGGGACGAAAGCUAGGGGCACGAACC